UAGUGUUACAGGCUCCUUCAGAAUUUUGUCUAGCAGGUUUUCCAGUCUUUACCAGGAAGCCCCU